rnacentral:rRNA from 1 species
GACGAACGCUGGCGGCGUGCUUAACACAUGCAAGUCGAACGGAAAGGCCCUGCUUUUGUGGGGUGCUCGAGUGGCGAACGGGUGAGUAACACGUGAGUAACCUGCCCUUGACUUUGGGAUAACUUCAGGAAACUGGGGCUAAUACCGGAUAGGAGCUCCAGCUGCAUGGUGGGGGUUGGAAAGUUUCGGCGGUUGGGGAUGGACUCGCGGCUUAUCAGCUUGUUGGUGGGGUAGUGGCUUACCAAGGCUUUGACGGGUAGCCGGCCUGAGAGGGUGACCGGCCACAUUGGGACUGAGAUACGGCCCAGACUCCUACGGGAGGCAGCAGUGGGGAAUAUUGCACAAUGGGCGGAAGCCUGAUGCAGCAACGCCGCGUGCGGGAUGACGGCCUUCGGGUUGUAAACCGCUUUCGCCUGUGACGAAGCGUGAGUGACGGUAAUGGGUAAAGAAGCACCGACUAACUACGUG